rnacentral:rRNA from 1 species
AGCAGCCGCGGUAAUUCCAGCUCCAAUAGCGUAUAUUAAAGUUGUUGCAGUUAAAAAGCUCGUAGUUGAAUUUCGGGACCAGUACGCUGGUCGUGCUUUGUGUAUGUACUGGUGUUACUGGUUCCUACCUUCUGACGAACCGUCAUGUCAUUAAUUUGGUGUGGCGGGGGAUCAGGACUGUUACUUUGAAAAAAUUAGAGUGUUUAAAGCAGGCAAUCGCUUGAAUACAUUAGCAUGGAAUAAUGAAAUAGGACGUUGAUCCUAUUUUGUUGGUUUCUAGGAUUGACGUAAUGAUUAAUAGGGAUAGUUGGGGGCAUUAGUAUUCAAUUGUCAGAGGUGAAAUUCUUGGAUUUAU